rnacentral:rRNA from 1 species
GAUGAACGCUGGCGGAGUGCCUAACACAUGCAAGUCGAGCGGCAGCACGAGUAGUUUACUACUUGGUGGCGAGCGGCGGACGGCUGAGUAACGCGUGGGAAUGUGCCCCAAAGUGAGGAAUAACUGCCCGAAAGGGUAGCUAAUGCCGCAUAUGAUCUUCGGAUUAAAGGAUUUAUCCGCUUUGGGAGCAGCCCGCGUUCGAUUAGGUAGUUGGUGAGGUAAAGGCUCACCAAGCCCACGAUCGAUAGCUGGUCUGAGAGGAUGACCAGCCAGACUGGAACUGAGACACGGUCCAGACUCCUACGGGAGGCAGCAGUGAGGAAUCUUCCACAAUGGACGAAAGUCUGAUGGAGCAACUCCGCGUGCAGGAUGAAGGCCUUCGGGUCGUAAACUGCUUUUAUGAGUGAAGAAUAUGACGGUAACUCAUGAAUAAGGGUCGGCUAACUACGUGCCAGCAGCCGCGGUAAAAC